rnacentral:lncRNA from 1 species
GGUUGAGCUUCAUCUUAUAUUUUCGUAGAGUGACGAACACCUCCUCUAGGUCGGAUAUGUGUUGCUCUACCUUCUUACUCUUUACAACCAUGUUGUCCACAUAGGCAUCGAUGUUCUUCCCUAUCAAAUCGGCGAAGACUUUGUUGAUGAGCCUCUAAUAGGUCGCCCCAGCAUUUUUCAACCCAAAUGGCAUCACCCUAUAGCAAUAUAUAGCUGAAUCAGCCAUGAAUGAGGUUUUCUCUUGGUCUUCUUUGGCCAAAAGAUUUGAUGAUACCCUGAGAAUGCAUCUAAAAAGCUGUACAGCUUAUGUCCGGAUGUACUAUCCACAAGAUUGUCAAUCCUGGGUAGCGGGUAGCUGUCUUUUGGGCACGCCUUAUUGAGAUCUGUGAAGUCGAUGCAGACCUUCCAUUUACCACUGGCCUUCUUAACAAGAACAACGUUAGCGAGCCAAUUGGGGUAUUGGACUUCCCUUAUGAACCCCGCUCUCAC